CAAGCAUGGAGCCAAAACUCAAUUUCGAAUUUCAAAAUACAUACUAAAAUUUGUCUAUAAAUACAAGCAUCAUCUGUUCAUUUUUUCUGUUCAAAAAAGGUUCACAAUGCAGAUUUUCUCUCUCUAAAAUUCAUUAUUCUAAUUCAUUUUGAUCUUCUUUUAAUUUUAGGGUUUUCAUAUCUUUAUUUGGUACUUUUAUUUUUAUUUGUUUGGAAUGUGCCUAUUUACUAUUAAUCUCAAUUACAACUCAAAUACUAAGAUCUGCUAACACUUAUUUCAAUUUUAUACAUAGCUAAUAUUUAUGAAUUUUCUCCACAGAUGAAGACUUGCUGUCAUUGGAGAAUGGAAGUAUUAUCUCUAAGAUCUGCAGAAGCAACAAAAGAAAAUGUUGUUAGUGUAAUUUUUAUAUUAGCUAAACUGUUGCCCAUCAUAUUCAUGUUAUGUUGCACAAUAGAAAUUAUAUAUGAAUAUUUACCAUUUUCUCUCAUAUUAUGUUAUUUGGCACAAGAGAAAAUAUAUGAAUAUUUAUCAUUUUCAUUUGUGCAAUAUUGCAAGGAGAAAAGAUUACAUAUCAUGUUAUACAAUUUCUCAAUUUCUCAACAAGACGUAUAAAUAUUCUCAAACUUUUUUGCCACAAAUGAAUACUAAGUAGAAUAUAUUUGAUGCAAGCAGGAAGAUAAGAGUGUUGAAAGGAAUAUUUUCGGAUUGCCACCAUAAGAUUAAAAAAAAUAUAUUAUUGUUUUCAGCUCUAUUUAUUUUGCUUAUUAAAAGACAUUCAAAAUGAACAACCUAGCUGCAAAAACAGUUGUUUAAGAUGGAAAAACAUACAAAAAAUUGUACUUUUUGAAUAUGCAUGUAUAGAUAGAAAAGGGAUAGACAAAGAAUCUAAAGCUACUGAUUCCAUUUUUUCGCUUCAAUUCCACUAUAAUUGGCAAGGGAAAUGAAGCUGAGGAAUUUCCGGCCACAACCCUGUGGGAAAUUUUGAAGUCAAGGAAAAGUUUGAGCAAGAUCAAAUACAUAACUAGAAAAAAAUAGGGUAUUUCUCUAAAGAUCAAGGAUACCAUAAAGAUGUUCAUAGAUCUGCCAAAAUAAUGCAGUAAAUAUCAGAGUAUGUGUCAUCUUCGAAAAACAAUGGGCAACGCCGCUAUUUUUGACAAAGCAUAAAACUUACAGACGAGAAAGGGGACGAUAUCUGGACCCUAGGCUUGGGCGACUCCGUCGUUUGAAAACGGGACGGCGGUGGCUGGAUACGGGCUGUGCAGAGGGAGGCCGCAGCACAUUCGUCGUCACCGAGGAGGAAGGCGACACCGCCUAGAUGUGACGGCGGAGUCGGUGGUUUGGACUAGGGAGAGUGAUUGAGAGGGAGAAAAUCGGCGUCGUCGCUAAACCACCGGAGGAGAAAAAGGAGAGUGAGCAUCUGGUUUGAGUGUGUUGAGCGGCGCAUUUGGAAGGAGGAGGAAGGUUUGGUUGGGAGAAGAAAACCGAGGGAUGUAGCAGAAGACAGAGGAAGGUUUGGGGUAGAAAAGAAACGAGGGAGAAGAUGAAGGGAGUAGCGGCGCUGAUUCAUCUUCAAACCCUAAAAUGAGAGAGUAUUUGAGCAAUGAACCCUAAAAAGGUGUAGAAGG
rnacentral:lncRNA from 1 species